AAAUGUAGCUACCGAUAUCCAGAUUUCAUCCAAUUUUAGCAUCAGCUUUUGUAUUAAUGGGACCACCCCAUGAACAUGAAUAAACUGACUAUUUUUGUCUCUCAUUAUCGUGGAGCAAGCUCAAAAAUGUAAUUGCAACUUGUUUCACAAAUGAAUGUACAUUGGAUGAAGCCAAUUAUGUUAAUAUUUAGUCACCUUGAUGGUAUUUUUUUUUUUUUUUUUUGCGGGGGAUAAUCCUAUUAAACAAUAAAAAUAAAUGAAGUAUCGCACCUCUUUUAUAUUGCCAUGUUAGGCCAAUCCCGUGCUCAGCACAAGGCAUGGAUCAUCUAAUAUAAAUAUAUGAUUAAGUAGGUUUUUUAAUGCCCUUUUUUUUCGAUUUUUUAUAUGGAACUAUAUCGGUCUAGUUAUAUGCUCAUACAAGAUUUAUGAAAAAACCAGAAAAAUAAUUUGGUUUGAUCCCACAAAUUUUAAUUUUAACUAUAUAAUAAGUGUGAGACUUCAUGGACGACGAAGGGUAAUAAGGUAAACUCACCUUAAUACUCACUCUCUAGAAACAUCCAUCAUAUUAUCCAACGGAACAAAGGAGUACCUCUUUGCGUUCUCCACCUUAAUACUCACUCUCUACAAACAUGCAUCUUAUAUUAUCCAAACGGAACAAAGGAGUGCCUCUUUACGUUCUCUUCCUUUACUUUUGAGAACCUUUUAGCACUAUUCAUCUUCUUAUUAGAACGAUUUAAGAACUCUGGAAGCGAGGUUUGAUCUCUGUGUUUGAAGUUGCCUUUUUAUCAGCUGGGUGGUUCCAUUUCAGAUAUGCUUUUCUUUCAGUUCUCUUUAGAGUUUCCAAUUGCAUGACUUAGUGUUAUUUUCUUUUGGUGUUAUUUUUUAUUUCAUCAGUAAUUUUCUCUCUCUAAAAUUAAAUAUCUAAGCUUAAUUUUUUACCAUACAUGUAUUUGAGACUGAAUUUUUGUAUGUUCUCAUUUUUGCUAAAUUAUCCUAUGUGUUGAAUGUUACUUCUUCUUUGUCUUUUUUUUUUUUUUUUUUUGGAUGGAUUUCACUGCGGUCUUUUCAUAUUUUCUGUGUGUCUUAUCAGUAUUUUUUUCAGCAUACUUAUGUUUGAAACUUUACUUUUCGGAUGAUCUGUCCUAAUGUUUUGUUGGGUUGCUCUAUGUGUUUCAUGUUGUGGGUAUGGCUUGAAAUAACCGGUGGGACUAAAUUUACCGCAUUUGGAAUUUGGUAAUUUAGCAGCCUUGCUGCUAAUUUUGGGUAAAAAGUAGAGUCUUUAGUUCUGGUGUUCUUUUAAACCCAUUUCUGCCAAGGUCCUUAUCAUUGUGGGGUAUAUAUAUAUAUAUAUAUAUAUAUAUAUACACACACACAUUAAUUAUAAAAUAUUUCAAAAUUAUUCUAUAAUUGAGUUUCUGUUGGCUAUAGUUGCAUUCCAUGUUGAGGCUGAAACCUCUUUGAAUUUCAAUACAUAGCAGUAGUGAUCAUUCAUGUUCAAUUUGACUGGAAUGUAAUGAUUGGUCACUUCGAAUUUCGCAGGAUUUUGAAGCUCAAAUUUGCCCGAAGAAAGCAGGAAAAAAACAGGAAAUAAUCUGACUGAUAGAGUUUUCAGCAGAUGUUUGCUGCAAACAAGAACCUUGCACGAUUGGACAUUAUAAGUGCCCUAUUAUUUGUGCACAUAAUAGGGUGGGAGUUUGUGAUGGUGUUAUAAUUUAUGGUCGUAACUCUAUGCCAAAUAAUGACUUCAAAUCAAAACUUAAAAAGAGUUCUCAGUGCAGAAAGUUUCCUACUUCGAUUAUUCCACUUUACUUCUUCUUCAUCUGAAUUGUCUGUCCUUUAUGUUUGCUCUGAUUGCUGAUUGACCUGUCGCCUUUAAAUCGAUUAAACCAGUAAGCUCUCAUCUGUGAGCUUCUUGAGUAUUUCUUUGUCCUUCUUCAGUAGUAAAAUACAUUAAGUUUGUUGUUUCUUUUGAGGUAUAGCUUAAGUGGUACUCUGUUAGUUUGAAACCUCAGUAGCUUUUGCCGGAGUUUGAAACAAUUAGUCAAGAUGGUAAAAGAGAAACUAAAUGAUCAGGGAGCCAUCCCCCAGCCUUCAGGUGACUUAUCCCUCAAUUUAUGAAUUUAUUGAUAAUGCUUUGAUGUUAUGAUUGAAGUUGAAAUGUUAGAUUUUUCAUCUAUUUGGGGACAUCCGAUAAAAGCAGAUUUUCCAUCUAAAACAAUUACUAUAUAUUAGAUAAUUUGCUCUUUUUAUUCAAAUGGAUUGGUAGUACUGAUUAAAAAGAAAAUUCAAAUGGAUCAAUAGUUUUAAUGUAAUGGGGCGAGUGAGGAGGGUACAGUAGGAUCAUAGGAUUUAGCCAAUAUGUUACCAGAUUUUCAUUUUUUAACACAAACCAGUACCUAAAGGUCUAACCCUCUUUUCCCUUCCAAAGGAAGAAAGCUCGGAGUAUGUUUCAUUUAUUAACUUGCCUUGACAAUUUGAGAUUUAGUAACCUGGUAUAGCUUAAGGAGUUUAUCCUCUUGUGUGGACAUAUGGUCCUUUGUCAAAUUUUAUAGCUCUCCAUUCAAAUUAUCUCCACUCCACUUUUUCUGUUUAGAAGAUACCUAACUGAAGUAAGCAUAUAAAAACUGAAAAUUGAAUAUAGUUGGUAAAUCCCAUGUAUAUAGAUAUGUUGCACCAGCAUCAAAGUAUAAUAGCAUGUCCUGUAAUAGUAAGCUUUCUCGAGUAUAUGGAUGCAAUUGAAAUUGUACUGAUAUAGCCAUCUGAAACAUUCUAAGUCUUCUCCCUUUUUAAUGUGGUAGUCAUGAUUUUCAAGUUUCAUGCAAUUUGUAAAUACUUAAAUUUGUUUUUGAUAUCAAUUAGAAAAGUUCUACAUGUGAAUUUACUUACGCUCUUUAGCUUUCUCCUAUUUCAACAUCUUUUAAUCAUGUUUGAAGAUUCUUUCAUUAGGAUUUAUUAUAAAAUUUUGUUGUGGAAUUUUCUUUAUCUAAUGCACCAUGUUUCCUUAUUUUCAAUUUUAUUUUCUUUAUUCAAGCUGAUGAUAUCUCUACGUGUUAAAACGUAAUCAUCUGUCUUAAGAGUGUUUGGUGUUGUCUACUUCUAUGUUUUUAAUAAAUCUACAUUGUUUAGUUAAUUUUUACAGUUUAGUUAUGUUGAAGAUCCGUGUUGUUAACAUGGUGUUGAAACCAUACGAACACACCCAUGUUGUGUGAUUCUCAACGUUUGGUUCAUUGUUAUGUUGUUGUGUUAGGGUGUCUCCAUAGGUUGUCAGACUGACAUGUAUCUGAAUGUUAGAUAAUAAUAAUAUGUUGUCGUAGAAAUGUUGGAUAUAAAAUCAAUACUUUUUUUAGAUAAUAAAUAUAACUACUAAUAUAAUAAAUUUAAUGUCAUCAAUGAUUUAUACUUAAGUAAAACUUUUAUAUUAAAAAUUAAUUUGACACUUAAUAUCCUAUCACAAUUGCAAGUAAUUUAGACAUUUUUAUAUGGAAAGAAUAUUCUUAUAAUAUAAAAUUGAAAUAUUUAGAAAAGGUUAUGAUAUUAAAAAAUAAUUACUAAUUAGUUGACUCUAUAUUUAUUUGCUUAAUCUGUCAAGACAUGUGAAUAUAAUUUUAUCUUUUAAUUCAAAUUUAAUAUAAUCUUCCAAUUCAAAUUCUAAGCAAAUCAUACUUAGUUCUAAUACAUUAUCUUUUAAUUACAACUCAAAAACUAACUUCAUUUGACUUUAUUACAUUGCCUAUUAGUAUUUUAAAAAAUUGUUACGUCGCCUUUGUUGGCACCCAAUUUUGUCCCGCCUCUCCCCCGAAAUACCUAUUUAUACUUCUGGUAAUUUGAGAAAUUAAAAAUAUGCAUUUAAAUUUUACUAUAAUUAUUAGUAUUUUAUUAACACCCACGUUUUAUUAUUCCACUGCAGUUAUUAUUAUCAUCAUUAUUAUUAUUAUUAUUAUUAAAUUACCAUUUAUUACUAAUCGUCAAUAAUUAUUAUUAUUCUUGUUAUUUCCAUUAUUAUUAUUAUUAUUAUUAUUAUUAUUA